GGGAGUGCACUGGUUUCGACAGGGGCAUUAGGUUAUAGGAAGCAAGUCAGGUUGAUCGCUGUGAGAGGUCAAACCCAUUUUUAAAUGGAAACGAAAAUUACGCAAUAGCUGCCUAAUAGUGCAGCGUAUUCUAUUUUCCUAAGGCCUGUGCAGGUCGGUAGAAUAUAAUUAACAUCAGGCUUACCAAUGGUUUCGUCAUUAAACCUGCGGGACAUCUUUAAUUGACUGGUAUAAGCUAGUCCUGUUUGUGAGACGAGUUUAUACGAGACUAAUUCACGAAAUAAACUUGUAGAAACCUAUGAUACUGGUGUUCUUGGACACGGGUUCAAUUCCCGUCACUUCCACCA
rnacentral:tmRNA from 1 species